rnacentral:rRNA from 1 species
AGUGAACGCUGGCGGCGUGCCUAAUACAUGCAAGUCGAACGGAGUGGCGCACGGGUGAGAAAUAUAUAGCUAAUCUGCCCCGUGCUGGGGGACUACCGAUAGAAAUGGCUGCUAAUACUCCAUAGCAAGUGAUGAGACUAUAUCGUAUCAGCUAGUCGGUGGGGUGACGGCCUACCGAGGCUAUGACGCGUAACUGGGGUGCGAGGAUGAGCAGUCACAUUGGAACGGAGACACGGUCCAGACACAUAGGGGAGUGAGCAGUAGGGAAUAGUACGCAAUGGGGGAGACCCUGACGCAGCAAAGCCGCGUGGAGGAUGACACUUUUCGGAGCGGAUACUCCUUUUGUUAGGGAAGCGGUACCUACCGAAUAAGCACCGGCUAACUCCGUGCCAGCAGCCGCGGUAAUAC